GGGUGUUGGCUUGGGAAGGGGCUGGAGUCCUGAGGGCCCUCAACAAAAGCUCAAAUACGAGGAGGGGACCCGUGACCAGGAGUCAGGGAGAGACGGCGGGGGAACUGGCAGGAACCCCUGCAGUGAAGGGAACCCCCCAGAGAACCCCCUUAAACUACAGAAGACGCUCCUGGGAAUUCAAGAACAGUUCAAUCUAGACAGGCAUCAAGGAAGACUGACAGCCUGUUUCCAGAGACGCUCCUGGGAAUUCAAGAACAGUUCAAUCUAGACAGUAAUAUCUGAUGGUGAGGAUCUGGGGCCACGUGAAACUAAUCCAGUCAUGACUGAGACAGGUAAAUACUUUUCUUUUGGUUAAUUUUAAUUAAUUGAUUACACAGAAAAGAAAAAAAAAAUAUGUUAAGAGGUUUUAACAUGCAAAUGUUAAUUGUUCAACAGUAAAUACACAGACCUGUACAAACCAUGUGUUGAGGAAGAGGAUGAGGAGUUGGUUGCAGUUGAAGAGUUUACAACACACACCAACUAACCAACACACUAACUGAGCUUGCCUGUGGCAUUCCAGUUUUUCCUCUGUACAAUAUUUCUCGUGUUUAAAUAAUUUUUGUAAAAGUAGCAAAUUUAUGUCCAUCUCUCCUUUCCCUGUCUUGUGCACUUCUAAAAGUGCUCAAGCCACCCUGCCCUCUGCGUCAUUCCAGUCUUGCUAUGUGCAAAGCAAGACAUGGGAUUCUUUAGAUCAACACAAAUUUUUUUUUCGAAUAUAUUUGUUUAGGUGGAUGGUAAUUUAAGAGAAUAUUUAAUAGUUUUCUUUAGGUAAUUUAAAUGUGAUUGUCACUGCACCAAAAUGAACCAAUGUUUGUGUUCACUCUUUAGAUUCAGAGAUGGUCUUUCAGCCCUUCAGUUCAGUGCAGCCUCACCCUGCUUUGUUGUCCCCUGUCCUGACCCACUUUGAAAAGGGGCGGACUGCUCUGGAACCUGAGAGACUCUUCCAACCUGACCUCAGUCCACCACGGAGCAACAGGAGACUUAAAUAAAGUAACACUUUGAGCUACUGGGCGGACUAACUCCUUGACUGUGAAGAAGGUGAGGCUGGCGUGUCUGUGGAGGACAGACUGAAUUCACUUCCCCCAUCUGGAUUGGAACCAUCACCAAGAAUAGAGUUCCUGGAUGACUCUCCAUUCCCAAUGGCAAAUACAUGUUGUGAAGGACCGGCGUGGUCGCCCCACGUAUCUGGGAUACGGCCAACCAGAUUCAGAGAGUGUGGGCAAAAACGAGGGCAAUUUUUCAGGACAAGAAAAGUGAAUCUAUAUUUUCUCUCAAGUACUGGCUUCCCAUCAAGCCAGCACCACCUUCAGCCCCCAAACACCAAAUGAGGCAGCC
ensembl:lncRNA